ensembl:lncRNA
CUCUGUGCAGUGAGAACACAGACGGAGCUCUCUCUCUCUCCAGCUCUGUUUGAUUAUACACACACCCACACACACACACACACACACACACACACACACACACACUGACUGUGAUCAGAGCUGGUAUUCACAGGUGAGUGUGUUUCUACACCAUUACACACACACACACACACACACACACACGCUCUCAGACACACACUCACUCACACACACACACACACACACACUCUCUCAGACACACACACACACACACACACACUCAUGAUCUGAUAGUGUUUUAUUUGUUCAGGAUGAUCGUCUGAUAGCAGAUCCAUCAGAUCCUCAGAAACUGGUUGAUUCUGUUAUUUCCGUCUCUUCUGAUCGUCUCGUCACGUCUCAGUGUGUGAAUCUGAAUCAUGAGAUCAUCUGUCAUUCUACAAGAGUAAAUGAUUUUUCUCUCAACAUCACGUUUGUCUGUUUUCAUAUUUAAUUCUUCAUGAACACUAUAAACGCUGCUCUAAUGCUCCUGUCUUUUAUCACAGUUCAGACUGAAGACCAUGUUCAGAGGUGAGAGAAACACUUCAGCUCUCAUGAUGAUGAUGUUUAUGAUGGACAGAUGAUCCUCAAAGGCACAGUUCACUCAAAAUGUCCCUCAGACUGACUUUCUUCUGUCAAACACAAAAGAAGAUGCUUUGAGAAAUGUCUCCCACACAGCGAAAGUCACAGAGGUUUGUAGGAUACAAGAGAGAAGAUGAUGACAGAAGAUUAAUUUCAUCUGUGCCUGUGUUUUUCAGUGAGGAAUGAGACGGAGCCCAUCAGUGGAUCGACACAAACCCCAAACUCAUGUGAGUUCAGCUGAUGAUCGAAAUCAUGGCAGCAUGUGUCAAAUAAAAGAUACACUCAGUCCAAUCUUUAGUGAAAGUAAAGAUGUUUUUUUGCUUUCUUAUACUGUUUUAUCAGUUUAAAUGCAUCAGGUUUUGUUGGUUUGUUAAUUCAGUUCACUUGAUAAUUUUAUUGUUUUAUAGAUCAGUUGUGGUGGCUAUUUGCACUUAUAUCAUUGCUCUUCUCAUCAUCAUCAUGAUCUGUUUCAUGCUGUGGAAAAGAAAGCUCAGUUUCAGGAGAGUCUCCAGCAGAAGAUCCAGAUGA